rnacentral:rRNA from 1 species
GUGUCAGCAGCCGCGGUAAUACGUAGGGUCCAAGCGUUAAUCGGAAUUACUGGGCGUAAAGCGUGCGCAGGCGGUUGUGUAAGUCAGAUGUGAAAUCCCCGGGCUCAACCUGGGAAUUGCAUUUGAGACUGCACGGCUAGAGUGUGUCAGAGGGGGUAGAAUUCCACGUGUAGCAGUGAAAUGCGUAGAUAUGUAGAGGAAUACCGAUGGCGAAGGCAGCCCCCUGGGAUAACACUGACGCUCAUGCACGAAAGCGUGGGGAGCAAACAGGAUUAGAAACCCCCGUAGUCC